UCGAGGCGGCGGCGGCGCGGGGUUUAAGCCGAGCCACGAGGCAACAGUUCAGGCUCAGUACCUGUGCGGGGUACCGCCAACUGCAAUAAAAUAUUGGGUGGGGGGCGGCCAGGUAUCGUCUCAUACCCUCCAGACUUUUGUGCUGGCAUCAUCGCUGAGUAGUUUCUGCAAAUUCAUGGAUGUCUACUGACUAAAAUAUGGAUUUCCCCUGUACAAAAUCCAGAAAAUGAACUAUUCCUCCAUGUAAGUCUGUCACUUAGUAGAAAACUGCCAACAAAUUUGUUUUCUGGAGUCUGACGCCCAGCUGCAAUAAAUUAAGCUAUGCCAUGUAAUCCCAGCUGGUGGGCUGUGGCAGUGUUCACUGUGGUUGUGUGCCUCUUCCCAAACCCACCCUGUUUUUGUGUUUUCUUCCUUUGCAUUCUUCUCCCCUCUUGGUUAAGCAUGUAUCGGAUUCAUCAGCAAAUCUCCAGACCUGGUAUAUAAGCACAGGGCUGCUCAGCCUGUUAGUCGAACUUAAUCUGAACUGAAAUACAUUUAAGUUACCAUUUACUAGUCCCAUUGACUUAAAUGGGAAAUGAAUUCAACUCAAUCCAGACCUGUGUCUGCAGAUAGAGAAACUGCCGUUUUAUGUCAGCAAAGAUGGAUGAUGAUACAGGAGAACAAUCUUAACAAAUGUGAAUAAAGUAAUACUGACUACUGUGAUCUUAUUAUCUGCAUUCUGUAUUAAGACACAUUAAAAAAAUUGCAUGACAUUAAAAAUGCACAUUUUACGUUUAACAAAAUGGUUAGAAAUUGUGAGCGUCUCCUCUGCCCAUUCUUUUUGGUUCUGCUCUUGAGUUUUCUCAUUCUACCCUGCGGACCUCUAAAACACAUGCCUCUUUCCUAAGUUCUUUCAACUUCUAUGUUUCCUGCAUUUGUCCAUUUUUCUACUCAGUCCCUCUAAUUAUACCACCGCAGUCCAGAGUAUGAAAGCUAAAGGCUCUUCUGUGACAUCAGAGCAGCUCAUCCAAUCAGUGCUAGUGUGUCACCCCCCCCCCACCAAAUGCUUUAGCAAAACCACCUUAUCUAGAGAUAGGCAACAAGGCUGCAACCCCCUACCUCUCCUCACAAUAUAUUUUGCUCCUCUAGUAGUCUAUGCUUUUCUUCAUAAGCUUGACUGCUGAACAGCAGGACACGGUCAUGCACUGCUUUGAGCAUGAGCAGAUAAGGACUAGAUUUGCCAGGAGGGGUGUACAUCCACUCAAUCAUCCCUUAAACAUCUGUCUGAAUUACAGAGGUACCAAAGGAGCAGAAAGGGAUGGAUGGGGAGGUUAAUGGUCUCAUUAUUUCUGCUGUUGGCUGGUAACCUAUUUCUGCCCCUCAUUAUGUUCUCCCUGCUACAACCCACAGAGUGGGGAAGUGUAUCAAAAUAGCUGUAAUGCACAUUACAAGGAUGGUUAGGAAGGGAAUCCAAAUGCUGCGUGGCCAGAGCAUCCUUGCAACGACAUCGAUUUAAAGAAUGCACCUCUUACAAGUUAAAAUGUACAUGUUAUACACACCAAGUAAUUGAAAGGAACCAUGACCCAUAGUCAUGAG